UUCAUGAUCCACAGAAAAAUAAAAAAACAUGGAGCCCCAGAGCCCAAGCAGAGCCAAACAGACAAGCAACCAAAAUAAAAGUUGAAGUUGUGGGAUCUCAUCCAAUUCCCACCAGAUUGUAUCCUCACCCCUGUCUGACCUUAUUGUUGCUCACACUCUAUGUCCCAAAAUGAAAACCCAAGACGAUGGAGUAUUGCCCCCUUAUGAUGUGAACCAACUGCUUGGCUGGGACCUGAAUUUGAGUUUAUUCCUAGGGCUCUGUUUGAUGUUACUUCUGGCUGGCUCAUGUCUGCCCUCUCCUGGGAUCACGGGACUAUCCCAUGGAUCCAACAGAGAAGACAGGUGAAGUUGCUGGAACCCAUUCUCCAUUCAGCAGAUUGUAUCCUCACCCCAUGUGACCUUAUUGCUGCUCAGACUCUAUGUUCCAGGAUAAAAUCCCAAGAAGAUGGAGAAGUGCAUCCCUCAUGAUGUGAAGCAUGUGCGCAGCUGGGAACCAAAUUCGAGAGCUCACAGUUUGAAUAGAAGAAUCCAAAGCUACAACAGCAGCAGCAGCUAUAGCUGUGACCGCUAUGAGGCCCGUGAUGACAGCUAUUAAGGGAGACUCACCACCAAGGGGAUUACCACCAUCGUAGCUACCAUUAGAUUACUGGUGGUCAGCA
rnacentral:lncRNA from 10 species